GGAAAGAAGACCAUGUUGAGCUUGAAUCUAGUCUUAAUUUGUGAAAUUACUUGAGAGGUGUAGAAUAAGUGGGAAUUGUUUUCAACACAAUUGAAAUACCACUAAUUUUAACAUUAUUUUACUUAUUUCGUGGGGCAUAGACAAUGUCGCAUUGCACAUAUGUUAAAAGAUAAUGCACAUUUCCUCAAAGUGUUGUCAUGGAUGCCAAUGGUCGAAAUCUCAUUCUUCACACACUUGAUGGAAAUGAGUUUAGGAAAAUAGAGAGGAUCAUUUUUUUAAGAAUGAAGAAAGUUCCUACAAACCCUAUGUUUUUAGCC
rnacentral:ncRNA from 1 species